rnacentral:lncRNA from 1 species
CUGGAAUGGAGUAUUUUUUAAUCAACAGCAUUGUCCUAUAUAAGUUAUAAAUAAAGUUGAAUUCUUUGCUUCGCUGUUUUACGUCAUGCCCACUAACAAAUUGAAAACUGUACCUAUACGCCUUAUUUUUAGUCCAGAUUUUUAGUAUUCGUAUUGUUAUCUUAGAAAGUCUUACUGAUUAAAAUACUACAAUAGGUAACAAUUUGACAAUUUAGUAGUGUCAACCCUGUGGUUAUGACCCGUGUAUAUAGCAUAUUAAUCCUGAAUACAACGGUUGGUGGUGCGCCUGUCAGAUGCGGAACGUACAGAUAAGGUAAUAGGUAACAGGUGAAUAUACUAUUGGUAUCGGAAGCGGACUCGACCCGGAACUUCUUAAUUAUUGGCAAUAUUAAUUACGUGGAAAACAAAAGGGCCUGGAGUGGUGUAAUUUUUAAU